GAGGGUAUAGCCCAGUGGUAGUGUGAGCUUAGCAUGUUCAAGGUCCUGGGUUCAAUCCCCAGUACUUCCA
rnacentral:tRNA from 1 species